rnacentral:rRNA from 1 species
GACAGAGGGUGCAAACGUUGCUCGGAAUCACUGGGCGUAAAGGGCGUGUAGGCGGGAAGGAAAGUCAGAUGUGAAAUCCCUGGGCUCAACCCAGGAACUGCAUUUGAAACUCCCUUUCUUGAGUCUCGGAGAGGAAAGCGGAAUUCCUGGUGUAGAGGUGAAAUUCGUAGAUAUCAGGAGGAACACCGGUGGCGAAGGCGGCUUUCUGGACGACAACUGACGCUGAGACGCGAAAGCGUGGGGAGCAAACAGG